AAAAUUGUUUUGUUUCCUUUCCAAUUCCUCUAAUUUUCAAUCUCAAUUUCAAAUUCCCCUAAAUUUCAUCUCACAACAGCAAACUCGCUCAAAAAAGCAAAAGCAAAGCUUCAAUCUGAAUCUGAUUAUAAUUCCCUCAAUUCCGAUUUUAGAUGAUCCAAAAACCCUAGAUAACAUCACAAACCCUCGAUUCCAAGUACAUCGAGUCACCAAGUACAUCUGAAUCUGAUUACCAAGUACAUCGAGUCACGAGAAAUUCUCUCAAGAGUCACAAUUCCGAAAACCCUAGAUACCAUCACAAACCCUCGAUUCCAUCUCAUUCUCACUACGUACAUCGAGUCACCAGAAAUUCCGUUCCGUCUCCAUUCAGCCGAGACGUAAAUCGGAUCUUGCGAUCUCAUGCUCAACCUCCUUCAAGUUCGUUCCGAACCUCAGAAUAGCGCUGAAUUUUGUUGGCUUAUCUGUUUUGGAUGGAUACCAUUGCAUGUGGUUCAGAAUCUACUGAGGAAUCAAUGGAUGUUUUUUGCUUCUUGAGUUUUGUAAGUAUUGGGAUGCCUUCAUGACCAUUUAAGAAACUGCUCCGUGAACAUUUUAUUCAUAAUGGGAAAGCUUGAUGACAACUAAACAUUAGUUUGAAUAUUAAUUUUUAAUCAUCACAAUAUUAAGAAUGAUAUAUUGUGUUUUUAUGACUCUAAAUGCAAUUAUGUAUUGUGAAUUGCCAUUCUGAGAUACAAUAUCUUUUCUUAAUCUAACUAUGGGGUGGUAUGCAUGAGUUUAAUAACCCCAACUUCAACUGAAAGAUGAACAUACUUUGCUCAAUGAUUUUUUUGAAUAGCGAAAUGUGUUGAUGACCCUAAAAUCUUAGAUGAAGCCUUAGUUUGAUAGUUGAAGGAUGACAAUAAUCCACUUUAAUAUGGAUAUGUGUUCAUAAU